AUCCUUCUGUGGUUCUUAAGCAUGAUGAUUGAAUUUUCCUACUAAUGUAUGAGAUAUGUGUCUCUCAAACCUUAUUACAUCAUGAGUAGAUUGCCUGCCCAAUA
ensembl:snoRNA